UACUUUGACCUGGAAUUGUUAACAUUAUAUACAUUGUUAAUUGAAUGUAGAGAUGUCUCAUCGGCACACAUACCACAUCUUCUCAUUUAUAUAAACAUGUUGAAGUCGAAUGUUAGUCAGAUUCUAUUAAAUAUUUAAGAACUUGCCACGUAAAGGUUAGAUAAAAAUCCAAACUGUUUAGUAUGAAUUAGUUGUCAGUCGAGAAAAAAUCAUUUAAUUGACGCUCAAUUCAGAAUGUGUGACAUAGAUCAGUGCAUUCUAUUACUAACAAUGCCGAUGUCCGUUUAUAAUUUAUAUUUACUUUUGUUAAGUUUUGAGCUAAUUGUCUUUGUAUGUUUUUAAAUAAGUAUCAGCGUUUGAAGGCCCAUUGGUGACUUUCGGCUGUUAAAUGUGCUUUGGUCGGGUUGUUGUAUCUUUGACAUAUUCUCAUUUCUAUUCUCUAUUCUUUUUUGAAUACUAUGAAGAUAUUUUAAGGCCUAGUGGAACAUGUUGGGUCUCGCAAGACGAUAUUGUCACUACUUCGCCGAAUAAUGUUUAAAAACGUAAACACUAAAAAAAUCCACUUAAAUACGCGCAUUAUAUCACUUUUACUGUCUGUUGAUAUUUGAAAUUACAUGUUCUAAAUGUUUAUGUAUUAUUAGGUUACCAUAUUUUGUUAUAUUUCAAAAUAGCUACAAAAAGUCAAGGUGGAAUUAUUUGGUAAGUGAUGCAUAGAUCAAGAUCUCGACCCAAGGACUAGAAGAUGUCAUGUCGAUUGGAAAACAACAAUAAAGGUCAUCAUAUGAACCGUUUGACAUUUUA
rnacentral:lncRNA from 1 species